rnacentral:rRNA from 1 species
UACGGAGGGAGCUAGCGUUGUUCGGAAAUACUGGGCGUAAAGCGCACGUAGGCGGCGCCGUAAGUCAGGGGUGAAAUCCCGGGGCUCAACCCCGGAACUGCCCUUGAAACUGCAGUGCUAGAAUCUUGGAGAGGUCAGUGGAAUUCCGAGUGUAGAGGUGAAAUGCGUAGAUAUCGGGAGGAACAUCAGUGGCGAAGGCGGCCUUCUGGUCCAGUACUGACACUCAAGUGCGAAAGCGUGGGGAGCAAACAGG